rnacentral:sRNA from 1 species
UACAAUCAAAGAUAUUUGUAGCAAUAAC